UUGACCUCAAAUCAGGUAGGACUACCCGCUGAACUUAAGCAUAUCAAUAAGCGGAGGAAAAGAAACUAACAAGGAUUCCCCUAGUAACUGCGAGUGAAGCGGGAAAAGCUCAAAUUUAAAAUCUGGCGGUCCYUGUGGCCGUCCGAGUUGUAAUUUAGAGAAGUGUUAUCCGCGCUGGACCGUGUACAAGUCUCCUGGAAUGGAGCGUCAUAGAGGGUGAGAAUCCCGUCUUUGACACGGACUGCCAGGGCAUUGUGAUGCGCUCUCGAAGAGUCGAGUUGUUUGGGAAUGCAGCUCAAAAUGGGUGGUAAAUUCCAUCUAAAGCUAAAUAUUGGGGAGAGACCGAUAGCGAACAAGUACCGUGAGGGAAAGAUGAAAAGAACUUUGGAAAGAGAGUUAAACAGUACGUGAAAUUGCUGAAAGGGAAACGCUUGAAGUCAGUCGCGUCGUUCAGGACUCAGCCUUGCUUUUGCUUGGUGUACUUCUUGUUCGACGGGUCAGCAUCAAUUUUGGUCGGUGGAUAAAGGCUUAGAGAAUGUGGCAUCUUCGGGUGUGUUAUAGCUCUGGGUCGCAUACAUCGGCUGGGAUUGAGGAACUCAGCACG
rnacentral:rRNA from 1 species